AGUAUGGAAGAAUGACUGGGAUGUUUAGAAGAAGUUUGCUUACCGUGAUUGUGAAGUUAUAUAGGAUAAGAAAUUAUUAACUACUCACUUGAGGUACGGACAUCAUCGCUGGACGCCUUAACAUAGGGGGAAAAGAUCUCUGUUACAUCCCAAAAAGUAACGUUUCCAGCUGUGUCUGAUGCAUAAACGAGAAGAAAAGAUUUUUUCGAUGAUUUGACGCUAAAAUGUCCCACACAUAAGAUGCAUUUUCCGUUCCACGAUAUUUUCUCCACCAUUGUGAAUGAUUUCGAUUCAGAAUCAAACACGUAGCAUCUUCAAUGAAAGAAAAA